rnacentral:rRNA from 1 species
UACAGAGGUCUCAAGCGUUGUUCGGAUUCAUUGGGCGUAAAGGGCGCGUAGGCGGCACGGCAAGUCAGGAGUGAAAGGCCUGGGCUCAACCGAGGAACUGCUUUUGAGACUGCCGAGCUAGAGUGCAGAAGGGGCAACUGGAAUUCCCAGUGUAGCGGUGAAAUGCGUAGAUAUUGGGAAGAACACCUGAGGCGAAGGCGGGUUGCUGGGCGUGACACUGACGCUGAGGCGCGAAAGCCAGGGGAGCAAACGGG